UGCAAUAUAGCUCAGUGGUAGAGCACUUGAUUCAUAUCCAAGAUGUCAAAGGUUCAAUUCCUUUUAUUGCAA
rfam:Candidatus Magnetobacterium bavaricum SAG41221, whole genome shotgun sequence.